GUCAAAUUUUGCGUUACGUAAUAUUUGAAUAACCCCUUACGUUGUAUAUUGAUUCCGUCGAAAUGUUGCCGAAAAUAGAUUAUUUUUCGGUCUGUGGAUCUUGCAAAGCUGUGUAUAUGUUUUUUGAGAGUGCAUUUUUUGUUGUUGUUUUGCAAAGAUCAAACUAGAGUGAAAAAAAACUAAAAGUCGGUGCAGGAAUGCAUAUCGGAAAAGGGUUCCACAGUUCCGCGAAGAUUGUCCGUAUUUCCGGUGGUUUGGAACCUGUUAUCAUCGAAGUAAUAAACCUCCUUGUUCCCCCGGUGACUGCUCAAACCAACUGUAAACGAUGCUGCUGUUAUUCGUCGUCCAUCUACGAACGUUGUCCACCCACUAGAAUCUACACCUGUUAUGCGACGAUUGGAUGUCUCCAUGAUUUAUCGGACAGAAACUGGAUGGUCUUCUCUUCGCGUCGCUUUCCUUGUACUCGCGAUACCAACUACUAGCAGGCAUCCGAAGAAAAUCAAACAAUGCAGGUGCUGAUGGUGAUAAAUUCAUGGAUAUACUAGUCUAAAACAUGAAACGGAUGAUGAUGCAGAGCAUAUGGGAAACGAAAGCUUUUCGAAGAUCAAUAGUGAUUCAAAAUAGUUAAGGAAGUUAAAUUGUUGAAUAAUAAGAAUGAUAUUGCUUAUUGAUUCUUUAUUUAUUUUCUAGAAAAAAAACAACAACAAUGAAACAAGUAGUGUGGUAGAUCUAAUUUUAUUUCAAACAGAAACAGCUACAACAUAAUUUAAAAAAUCAUGAUUAUUUACUUGUUAGUGUUGUACAUGGUAAAAUUGACGUAAAAAUAGACAACGUACUAUUUGUUUCAUUUUUU